GCUCUGCUGUCAUUGCUGUGCUUUCCAUGGCAUUACAGUGUUAUACCAGUUACUGACACUUCAGCAGGCUGGUGUCAUCCGUAUAAAGAACAAAACAGGAAUGAUGUUGCAUUCAGACACACUUAUGCGUUUUGCUCUAUGGUUGACAGCACACCGUUGGCCUCGCGGGAGAACCGCAUCGCAUCUCUCGUCCGAGAAGAUAAGAUUUGUGCUCCCUAUCAGCGUCCCCCAGUUUCUGCAUGAAAACCAAGCGUGCAUCACAGCUGGCAAACAAGGCAAAAGAAGAUGCAUAAGGGUACCUGAAAUAAAGCAGCUUCGAGGGAGCAGAGGAUGAAGAGCAGAUCUCCAAGCAUUAGAGGAGCAAAGCAGCAAGCCUCCCCACUCAAGAGCAUUAUUUCAAGCUCCAGCUCCUGGAACAGAAUAGCAUUACCAUGCACCCAAAGGCCUCAAGCUGCUGGUAAGCUAUUGCUGGUGGCCAGAGAUGUUAGAUACUCACAAGCAUGUUCUCUUCUCCUGCAGACAUUUGAAAUCUACCACUUCUGUUUCCACCUCAAGCUUACCACAGACAGAAGGGGAACCACACCACUCUGAGCAGCAGCAGCUUAAAUCCUUGGUCUCGCACGGGGAGCCCCUACAAGAAGGAGGCAGCGCUUAAUAAGAUUAGCAAAUGUUUAAGUCUGAGCAAAUAAAGAUAGCAAGUUGUUUCUCA
ensembl:lncRNA